rnacentral:rRNA from 4 species
CAAACGACUCUCGGCAACGGAUAUCUCGGCUCUCGCAUCGAUGAAGAACGUAGCGAAAUGCGAUACUUGGUGUGAAUUGCAGAAUCCCGUGAACCAUCGAGUCUUUGAACGCAAGUUGCGCCCGAAGCCUUUAGGCUGAGGGCACGUCUGCAUGGGCGUCACGC